UACGUAGGGGGCUAGCGUUGCUCGGAAUCACUGGGCGUAAAGGGUGCGUAGGCGGGUCUUUAAGUCAGGGGUGAAAUCCUGGAGCUCAACUCCAGAACUGCCUUUGAUACUGAGGAUCUUGAGUUCGGGAGAGGUGAGUGGAACUGCGAGUGUAGAGGUGAAAUGCGUAGAGAUCCGGAGGAACACCAGUGGCGAAGGCGACACGCUGGGCCGUACCUGACACUGAUGCGCGACAGCAUGGGGAGCAAACAGG
rnacentral:rRNA from 1 species